rnacentral:rRNA from 1 species
CCUACGGGGGGCAGCAGUGGGGAAUAUUGGACAAUGGGCGAAAGCCUGAUCCAGCCAUGCCGCGUGUGUGAAGAAGGCCUUCGGGUUGUAAAGCACUUUCAGUGGGGAAGAAAGCCUUGGGGCUAAUACCCUCGAGGAAGGACAUCACCCACAGAAGAAGCACCGGCUAACUCCGUGCCAGCAGCCGCGGUAAUACGGAGGGUGCGAGCGUUAAUCGGAAUUACUGGGCGUAAAGCGCGCGUAGGCGGUCUGAUAAGCCGGUUGUGAAAGCCCCGGGCUCAACCUGGGAACGGCAUCCGGAACUAUCAGGCUAGAGUGCAGGAGAGGAAGGUAGAAUUCCCGGUGUAGCGGUGAAAUGCGUAGAGAUCGGGAGGAAUACCAGUGGCGAAGGCGGCCUUCUGGACUGACACUGACGCUGAGGUGCGAAAGCGUGGGUAGCAAACAGGAUUAGAUACCCGAGUAGUC